rnacentral:lncRNA from 1 species
AUGAACACAGGCAAAAGCACAGAGGCUGCUGCUCACAGGGGCAGCCCUCACCCACCCUACGUGCCACCUCUGAAGCCAGCUCUGUGCUUAAUAGAGCAGCAGCCCAACAGCUGGAACGGCCACAGAACAGCCACGGAACAGCCUCCUGCUGCCUCUGAGCACCGUGCAAAGCACCUAAGCUGCCUCCUCUGCACAGCCAAGACACACUGUGAGCCUUCAAACUCCAUUCCUUGCUGCUGGAGGUUGAUCACAGCCAACAGACCUCACCUACAGCCAUCAGUACCUACCAGGCAGCCCAACGCCAGAACACAACACUCCCAAAGCCAAUUGUGGCACAGCUCAGCUCCCACAGCUCACUGUGCACCAACACUUCACAGGGGGAUUGACACCUCCUCAGUCUACAACCCUGACCCUUCCCAGCCCCAUACCCACAGCGUGCCAAGCCAGGAUGGCUGCAUAACAACACCGCAGCUUCUCCCAUUCCCCACGCCAAGCCAACACGAGCAGCACAGCACACACAGGACCCAGCACAGCAGCAACAGAGCUGUCAUUACAGGUGUGUCAUGGCACUCAAUGCAGGGCCGCACUCACACCCCGCCUGCCACUCAAUGCAGGCCGCACUCACACCCCGGCUUGCACUCAAUGCAGGGCCUGCACUCACACACCCGCUGCACUCAAUGCAGGGCCGCACUCACACCCCGCUGCACUCAAUGCAGGGCCGCACUCACACCCCGCUGCACUCAAUGCAGGGCCGCACUCACACCCCGCCGUGCUCUAUCUAUCCACGUGUUCCUCCUCCCGCCGCCAGGGGGCGCUGUUCCCGCCACGCGCCCGGCCGCCUUUCAAACCGCGCGCCACUCUCCUCGUCCUCUCAUUGGCCGCCCGCCAACGCGCCGGCUCGGCGCCUCGAGGCCAGCUGGGAAAUGUAGUCCCGUGCGGACUGCAAUUCCCAUGGUGCAUCGCGGGCGGUGCCGCACGUGGUGUCGCCCCGCUGCUCGCUGUUGCCGGGGGCGGCGCUGGGCUCCGAGCCGAGCGGGUGGGGCGGGACCCCCCGACCGCAACCAGGGGCUGAGAGCGGCACCGGGACGGGAACGACGGGGGGUCACCUUGUAUUGCGACCCCACGGAAUGA